ACAACCAGCUUUUAUUUAUGGAGAAUGUAUCCCCCAAGAAUUAUUAGCCUAUCCUGUCAAACAUUAGACGUUCACGCAUCCCACACUUUGCCUUUAUCGUCGGACCGUAGUUUUCAACAUGACAUUCGUUUGGGGAAAGAAAAAAUAUUUAUUUUCACGGCUAUAAUUGAAUGACCAGCAGUGGCACACGCCAGGCCACGGGGACGGAGUAGGUUAAAACUGCUGUGACAUACAGGUUGGAAGUUCCUUCUGUGAGCGCCCAAGAAGAAGCCCCGAACUUCACACUAGUGUGGAAGUAACUGCACGAGCAGCUGAGAGCCCGCGCGGCGACUGCUGCCGAUGCAGGCUGACGAAGCCUCGGUGCCCGGCUCAAGUGCAACUGCAGGGUGAGAUGCGACACAUUCAUUCUCUGGUGUGAACUACAGGAAGGCUGAAUGAGCUGAAAUUGCUUUGAAAACGGAUUACCUCAUAGGCGUCGACCAGCGAAUCGCCAUCGGACCAUGCACUUUCAUCUGCAAGUCAAGAAAAGAGGACAGAUGUGCUGUCACAUUAUCACAGUUCACCUUGAAGACCGAGCCGACUUGAUAGAACUAUAGUGACUGAUCAACUUUCUUACAGCUUUUGUCUCCAUCUUGUGGUUCGUCAAUGUAACUUCAGAGAAACACAGUAGUUUAGGCUUGUUUUGAGCUAUUUUUGACUUAUUAUGGACAUCUAAGGAAAUUAAGUAUCAAAAUAUACACACUCUUACAGUUGCCUUCAGAUCAAAAUAGAAAAAAAUGCGACAGCAGAUCCCAAUUUAAUUUACUGUUGGGUAUGUCCAGUAAAACACCAAAGCCCUAAAUACAACCUUAAAGUGUAGAAUAGAUUCAGAGAAACUCAAAACACUUUAAUUUUGAUAAAAGUAUUUUUUUUUAUUGUGUAUAAAAAUACUAGUAGUUUUGUCUUGUGUAUCUCAGCCUCCGUAUGCUGCAGAAAGAGAGGACUGAGGAGCAGUUAUGACGUGCUGAAAAAUGGUUAACAGAUAUUGGUCAGAAAAGGCAUGUCAAAUAAACAACCAAAAGACAGUGUCCCACCUGAGGCUCAAGAGGGGAAAAAAAAAAAAAAACCUGAUCGAUUUCAGUGCAAAAAUAA